rnacentral:rRNA from 1 species
GAUGAACGCUGGCGGCGUGCCUAAUACAUGCAAGUCGAGCGAACGGACGAGAAGCUUGCUUCUCUGAUGUUAGCGGCGGACGGGUGAGUAACACGUGGAUAACCUACCUAUAAGACUGGGAUAACUUCGGGAAACCGGAGCUAAUACCGGAUAAUAUUUUGAACCGCAUGGUUCAAAAGUGAAAGACGGUCUUGCUGUCACUUAUAGAUGGAUCCGCGCUGCAUUAGCUAGUCGGUAAGGUAACGGCUUACCAAGGCAACGAUGCAUAGCCGACCUGAGAGGGUGAUCGGCCACACUGGAACUGAGACACGGUCCAGGCUCCUACGGGAGGCAGCAGUAGGGAAUCUUCCGCAAUGGGCGAAAGCCUGACGGAGCAACGCCGCGUGAGUGAUGAAGGUCUUCGGAUCGUAAAACUCUGUUAUUAGGGAAGAACAUAUGUGUAAGUAACUGUGCACAUCUUGACGGUACCUAAUCAGAAAGCCACGGCUAACUACGUG